rnacentral:rRNA from 1 species
GCAAGUCGAGGGGUAACGGAAGUAGCUUGCUACUAGACGACGACCGGCGCACGGGUGAGUAACGCGUAUGUAAUCUGCCUUGUACAGAGGGAUAGCCCAGAGAAAUUUGGAUUAAUACCUCAUAGUAUUACUGGAUCGCAUGAUUUGGUAAUUAAAGCUCCGGCGGUAUAAGAUGAACAUGCGUGACAUUAGCUAGUUGGUAAGGUAACGGCUUACCAAGGCUACGAUGUCUAGGGGUUCUGAGAGGAUGAUCCCCCACACUGGUACUGAGACACGGACCAGACUCCUACGGGAGGCAGCAGUGAGGAAUAUUGGUUAAUGGACGCAAGUCUGAACCAGCCAUCCCGCGUGAAGGAUGACUGCCCUAUGGGUUGUAAACUUCUUUUAUAUGCAAAUAAACCUACUUUCGUGAAAGUAGCUGAAGGUAGCAUAUGAAUAAACACCGGCUAACUCCGUGCCAGCAGCCGCGGUAAUACGGAGGGUGUAAGCGUUAUCCGGAUUUAUUGGGUUUAAAGGGUACGUAGGCGGUAAUAUAAGUCAGUGGUGAAAUCCUGCAGCUCAACUGUAGAACUGCCAUUGAA